UUUGUUAAGCUAGAUGUGAAAGCCCCGGGCUCAACCUGGGAACUGCAUUUCGAACUGGCAGACUAGAGUGUGAUAGAGGGGGGUAGAAUUUCAGGUGUAGCGGUGAAAUGCGUAGAGAUCUGAAGGAAUACCGGUGGCGAAGGCGGCCCCCUGGGCCAAUACUGACGCUCAUGUGCGAAAGCGUGGGGAGCAAACAGGAUUAGAUACCCUGGUAGUCCACGCCGUAAACGAUGUCUACUAGAAGGUCGGAGCCUUGAUUCUGGGUUUCAAAGCUAACGGCGUAAGUAGACCCCCUGGGGAGUACGGGCGCAAGGUUAAAACUCAAAUGAAUUGACGG
rnacentral:rRNA from 1 species